rnacentral:rRNA from 1 species
CGGGAACUCAGACACAGGUGCUGCAUGGCUGACGUCAGCUCGUGUCGUGAGAUGUUGGGUUAAGUCCCGUAACGAGCGCAACCCUUGUCCUUAGUUACCAGCACCUCGGGUGGGCACUCUAAGGAGACUGCCGGUGACAAACCGGAGGAAGGUGGGGAUGACGUCAAGUCAUCAUGGCCCUUACGGCCAGGGCUACACACGUGCUACAAUGGUCGGUACAAAGGGUUGCCAAGCCGCGAGGUGGAGCUAAUCCCAUAAAACCGAUCGUAGUCCGGAUCGCAGUCUGCAACUCGACUGCGUGAAGUCGGAAUCGCUAGUAAUCGUGAAUCAGAAUGUCACGGUGAAUACGUUCCCGGGCCUUGUACAC